rnacentral:rRNA from 1 species
AUUGAACGCUGGCGGCAUGCCUUACACAUGCAAGUCGAACGGUAACGGGCCUUCGGGUGCCGACGAGUGGCGAACGGGUGAGUAAUGUAUCGGAACGUACCUUUCAGUGGGGGAUAACGUAGCGAAAGUUACGCCAAUACCGCAUAUUCUGUGAGCAGGAAAGCAGGGGAUCGCAAGACCUUGCGCUGAUUGAGCGGCCGAUAUCAGAUUAGCUAGUUGGUGAGGUAAAAGCUCACCAAGGCGACGAUCUGUAGCGGGUCUGAGAGGAUGAUCCGCCACACUGGAACUGAGACACGGUCCAGACUCCUACGGGAGGCGGCAGUGGGGAAUUUUGGACAAUGGGGGCAACCCUGAUCCAGCCAUGCCGCGUGAGUGAAGAAGGCCUUCGGGUUGUAAAGCUCUUUCGGCCGGGAAGAAAUCGUAUCAGCUAAUACCUGGUGCGGAUGACGGUACCGGCAUAAGAAGCACCGGCUAACUACGUGCCAGCCGCCGCCGUAAUAC